AAACAAAUUUUUCUGCAUCAUUUUGCUGGGGUAUCAUAGCAGAUAAUUCGGUUUUUGUAAACAUUGACUUUUUAAAAGUUUAUCAGAUUUAAAUAAGCGUUAGGGGUUUACACCUUUAUUAUAAACAAAAAGUGCAGUUUUUUAUUAAUGGCAUUUUUGGCGAGGUUCCAGACGGUCAACACACUCGGUGGGGGAGUAUGACAAAAAUGGCCGCCGAAAGUUUUCAAUGAAAUGUAUUUUAAAUGACAUGUCGUGAUAAGAAUGAGCUUUUAAUGGAUCUUGUAAAGAUUCAACAAUGCUAAUGUUCUCAUGUCACUCUGAUAAUCAAAAACUAAAAACCUAGAUUUAGUAAGUGUUCCUCAAAGCAUAGCCAUGGGCGAUCACGGUGUCAAUGAUGACGGCGGAGGAACGGCCGAACGCCGCCUUCGUCAAUUGGAAUCCCUUUAUCUGAGCGGGCCUGUAGCUGCUCGAGGGCAGGCAUUUAGUGUUGAAAGUCUCAUUGACCUGAUGCUCGUACUUUAUGAUGAAUGCUGCAAUUCAAGUUUGAGAAAGGAAAAGACCGUAUCGGAUUUUUUGGAAUAUGUGAAACCAGUAGCAAACAUAGCAAAAACUCUACGUCUUACUCGAGAUGAUUUUGAAAUUGUCAAAGUAAUUGGUAGGGGGGCCUUUGGUGAAGUCUGCGUAGUAAAACUACGCGGUUCAGACAAAGUAUUUGCCAUGAAAAUUCUUAACAAAUGGGAAAUGCUAAAACGCGCAGAGACUGCUUGUUUCAAGGAGGAACGGGACGUCUUAGUUUAUGGAGACACUAGGUGGAUCACGCAUUUGCAUUAUGCUUUUCAAGACGAAUCAAAUCUUUACUUGGUUAUGGAUUAUUAUUGCGGAGGGGAUUUGCUGACGUUACUUAGCAAGUUCGAGGAUCGACUCCCUGAGGAUAUGGCUAGGUUUUAUAUUGCUGAAAUGGUAUUGGCCAUUGAUUCGAUUCAUAAGCUUAAAUAUGUACAUAGGGAUAUUAAACCCGACAAUGUUCUUCUCGACGCGAACGGACAUAUAAGGUUAGCGGACUUUGGAAGUUGCUUGAAACUAAAUGAAGAUGGCAUGGUGCAAUCAAACGUAGCUGUAGGAACCCCCGAUUAUAUUUCUCCUGAAAUUUUAAGGGCUAUGGAAGAUGGACAGGGUAGAUAUGGUCCUGAAUGUGAUUGGUGGUCGUUAGGAGUGUGUAUGUAUGAAAUGCUAUUCGGCGAAACGCCGUUUUACGCAGAAAGUCUAGUCGAAACUUAUGGGAAAAUAAUGAACCAUAAGAACUGUUUUGAUUUUGCAAUAGAAGUAGAUGUUUCUGACGAAGCGAAGGAUCUUAUUAAAAGGUUAAUUUGCAGUCAGGAGUUUAGGUUAGGACAAAAUGGAAUAGAGGACUUUAAGGGUCAUCCAUGGUUUCAAGGCGUGGACUGGGAUGGAAUCCGCGAUAGCAACGCUCCCUAUAUUCCAGAAGUAUCCAGCCCAACGGACACUUCAAAUUUUGAUGUGGAUGACGCCGAUAUACGGCUGUCUGAUGCCUUACCACCCACAGCGAAUAAUGCUUUUACUGGUUUACAUUUGCCGUUUAUUGGGUUUACUUUUACUCAAGGAAGUUACAUUUGUGACUUAAGCAAUCUUCACUCGUUUAUUUCGAAAACUACGACGAACAACACGGAGAAACAAAAUCAAAGGAACGAUAUUAUGUCUCUGGUUCAAACCCCAAACCAGCAAAAUCAGAAGCCGGAAAAAGAAGGUGAAAAACAACGGACGUCUCCAGAUGGAACCAGAAAGUUGCAAGAUGAAAUUAACAUGCUGACUAAGAGAAAUUGUGAGCUGGAAUCGCAAUUACGAAGCUUAGAAAGCGGUGACACAUUAGACGGCAAUGAAAAUCUAAGGAUACGUGAGCUAGAGAAGCUCAUUAAGACUUUAAAGCAGGAAAAGGAAGAAGUGAAUAAAGAUAAACAAGAUCUCCAAGAAAAAUUAAAGUUUCAGGACAAGGAACUAAAAGAUGCCAUUGCCCAAAAAAAGCUCGCGAUGACAGAAUAUGCGGAAGUCACUGAUAAGCUUGCUGAACUUAGAGCUCAGAAACAAAAAAUAUCUAGACAGGUAAGAGACAAAGAAGAGGAACUGGAAACUGUGAUGCAAAAAGUCGACUCUCUCAGAAACGAUAUACGAAGGGCGGAAAAAUUAAGGCGAGAACUGGAAUCUAGGGUUGACGAAGCUCAAGCUGAAGCGACUAAAGAAAGGAAAUUAAGGGAAAGAUCGGAAGAAUACUGUAGACAAAUGCAGGCUGAAUCCGAUCGGUUAAGAGUAAGAUCGGAACAUAGCCCGAGGGAUCAGCAGGACUCCUUAAGGCUAAAAGCAGAGCUGGAAAAAUUAGAAGUGCAAUAUAACGAAAGUUUAACUCAGCAACAAACGAGGUAUAAUCUAGAACUUUCUUCUCUAAGGGAGCAACUGCAAGAAGCAGAAACUCAUAGGGAUCUGUUGGAAAGAGAGCUCCAAUCCUUAAAAGAAAAGUGGGAGAAAUAUAGGCUGGAGGCCAUCGCUGAUACUGAGCAAACGUUGGCUGACGUGAACCGUAGACACGAGCGAGAAAAGCAAAUGCUCACAGAAGAAAAUAAAAAAUUAUGCUCAAAUGUUCAUUUUCUAACAGAAUCGGUGAAUCGUCUACAAUCUGAGCGGGCCAAUCUGGAAUCGGAAUAUGAAGCUUUAAGGACGAAACAGGACGCUUUGGGACAGUGGGAAUCGCAACUUUCUGAGAUCAUUCAAUGGGUGAGCGAUGAAAAAGAUGCCAGGGCCUACUUGCAAGCUUUAGCCACCAAAAUGACUGAGGAGCUGGAAUAUCUAAAACAUGCUGGAGUUUCUAACACGGUUGGUGGCCCAGACAAGAACUGGAGAAACAGACGUUCCCAAAAGUUGGACAAAAUGGAACUGCUUAACCUGCAAAGUUCUUUGCAAAGCGAAAUUCAAGCGAAGCAAGCGAUAAGCGAAGAUCUUAGUAAAACCAGAGAAGCUUUGCUAGCUGCUCAAAAAGAUCUUCGCGAAUACAGACAACGAAACGAAGCCUUACAACUGGACCUGAAACGAAAAGAGAAACAAAUCAAGGACUUCCAAAAUAGGCUAGAUUCGGAAGGAUUUCUGGAACGUCCGUCAUCACAGAUGUCAUACUUGGAACAGUUCCUGAAAGAAACCAACUCUUCAUCGGGACAAAAUAUGUAUGACAAUGUGCCACCGCAGGCUCAUAUGUACCACGGGGGCUCAUUAGAGUCUGAAGAUGCUGAUGUUGAAGACAAUAGGGCGCCAAGCAUAGUUAGCUCGAAAAGUAAUCUUAGUGAAAUUAGUAUGCACGAAACCCACUCGCCAAUGAAACACAAGGCUCACCAGUUUUUGGUGCGCACUUUUUCUAGUCCCACCAAAUGCAGUCAUUGUACGUCAUUGAUGGUCGGGCUGAUGCGGCAGGGGAUGGUGUGUGAAAUCUGUGGAUUCACGUGUCACACCGCAUGCUGUCCUCAUGUGCCGCCUGUAUGUCCCGUGCCACCGGAUCAAACAAAAAGGCCUUUAGGAAUAGAUCCAACGAGAGGAAUAGGUACGGCCUAUGAGGGUUAUGUUAAAGUUCCGAAAUUAGGAGGUGUAAAAAGAGGUUGGAUCCGACAAUUUGUCGUCGUUUGUGAUUUUAAACUUUUUCUCUACGACAUAUCCGCAGACAGAAAUGCCUUACCCAGUGUUCAUGUAGCUCAGGUCUUAGACAUGAGAGAUCCCCAGUUUAGCGUUAGUAGUGUCAAGGACUUGGACGUUAUUCACGCCAAUAAGAAGGAUAUACCUUGUAUAUUUAAGAUUACAACUUCUUUAAUGGAGCCGCCUGGGCCGAGAAACGCGAUGUUAAUGUUGGCGGACUCAGAAGCGGAAAAAAAUAAAUGGGUGGUCGCUUUAGCGGAAUUGCACCGGAUAAUGAAGAGGAAUAAUCUGCCUAACACCACAGUGCUUAUAACUAGGGAGUUGAUCGAUAACUCUUUGGCUAUGUUAAAGAAUACUCUCAGCGCUGCCAUUAUCGAUCCUGAUAGGAUUGUUUUAGGUACUGAAGAGGGUCUAUAUUGUAUAGAUCUGGAUAGAACGGAAAUAGCAAAAAUUGGAGAAGCAAAGAAAAUUUUUCAAAUUGAGUAUAUCAGUGAAGAACACCUGUUGGUGGUGGUAAGCGGUAAACAGCGCCAAGUAAGACUAGUACCCAUAAGAGCCCUGGACGGCGACGAUACCGAAUGGAUAAAAGUGACAGAAAGUAAAGGAUGCUCAGUUUUAACUGUUGGUCCUGUUCUAAGGGCCCCUUUGACCUUUUGCUUGUGCAUAGCUAUUAAAAAACAGAAUUCAUCAGUGAUAAUAAUUUACGAAAUAACGAGAACAAAGACGAGACACAGUAAAGUUAGCGAGUUCGCUAUACCAGUGAACGUACAGGCUUUGCAAAUACUUUCAGACGGAAGAUUAUGUGUUGGCUCUCCAUCUUGUUUUACGGUUUAUAGUAUACAAAACGGAGAUUCUUUUAUUUCAUUACUUCAUCCAGAAAAUCCUUUGUACGCUACGAUCAACUGCAGCUCGGUAGAGGCGCUUAGAGUGAUCGAGUUACCGAGGCGAGAGUACCUGUUGGUGUUUGGUACUUUGGCUGCUUACGUAGAUAAGCACGGCCGAAAGUCCAGAGACAGGGAAAUCAUGUACCCGGCUGUGCCAACUGCCAUUAGUUAUAGGGAUGGUAAUCUAGUAGUUUAUAGCGAGACACAUAUAGAUGUGUUCAACUGCGCCACAGGUGAAUGGGUUCAAACGCUUAAUAUCAAAAGGGCGAAGCCCCUCAACGAUAGCGGUAGUCUGACUAUGUGCAUCCUUAACGAUUUGACCCAUCUUUUGUAUCUCUCUAAUGUUCAUCAAAGAGAACUUCUCAAUUUAGAAAACAUAGUUACCUUAGAUACUGAGGGUAGAGUUGUACAUAAGCCUAGAAGACGAUUCUCUCUAAGAGAAGGCCAUAGGUCAACAAGAAUGAACACUGAUAGGCGAUCAAAAUUAAUCUCCGCGCCAACGAAUUUUAAUCACAUCAGCCAUGUAGGGCCCGGCGAUAGCAUCCAGCAACAAAGACUGAUCGAUUUAACCACUAGCCUUGUCGACCAACUUCCCGACCAAAUAUCGUACGGACCACCAACGCCCCAACCAAGACCAACGAAACAAGCUCCAUUACCCCCGGUACCAGCGAAGCCUCGCCCUUGGGAAAUAUCAAAUCCGUUACCUCAUCGCCCCGCGCCCCAAGUUUAUAACGGGGCGAAAAGGGCGGCGCCGCCUCGACCCAGAGACUUACCGCCCGCCCUUCCACGUCCUUCUGACACUUCUCCCUCCCCUGAUCCGGCUAGUAUUGGCAGUAUGUCGUCGCUCCAUGACAUGAUUAAGGUUGGAAAACAUAAAACCACGUUAUGACAAAUAAGAAAAGUGGGAAAAUUGGUGUUUUUUGAUUGCCUUCGUCCCAAUUAAGAGCAGGCGACAGAAGUAAAAAGUAGCCCCCGACACUCGAUAGCCAGCAAUAAUAGCUCCAAUCUGUCGACACCCCCGUCUCCCCAGGCCGAUCAUCAUCACAGUUCCAGUUAUGACAGUUAGAAAUAUCCAACUGACAGAAACCGUAAUUACAUUUACUACUAUCGAAGUAGAAUAUAUCAUUCCAUCUAUACAAACGCUGGUUUUGGAGUAAGAUAUCCAAAGUGUUUUUGCAAACACUUUGGGCGUCUAUCUACAGACUGAGUAGUUACCUCAAGGAGUUUACAAUAAAGAAAUUUAUCUUCGUUUAAAAAGAUAAUAAUUAACGGAUAUUAUUGAAUAUUAUCUUAGGAUCUAAGGCAUGGCACUGUACUUAUAUUUUUUGUUUUUUUUUUGUUUGUAUAUUUUUGUAUUAUUUUCAAGAGAGUAAUCUUUAAACUUUAGUUCGUCAUUUAGUGUAAUAGAGAAAUGUAAAAAUGCAAGUCAAUUAUUAAGUAUUUAAUUUUGUUUUUAGUGAUUUAUUCUAAGUUUAAUAAUGACCUAAAUUUGUGCCGUCACAUGGCGAUAAAAGCAAUAAGGGGAAAAUUAUAGUAGAGAGAGUUCAUGUCCCUGUUUAAUAUUGAUAGGAAAGCCAUUGAUUGCAUAAGAAACCGGAUGUAACGCAAAAUUAUUUGCAGUGAUUGUUAUAUUAAUUUAUAAUAUUUCGAAUAAACCGGUUAAAUUUUUUGUGUACCUUAUGCAGAGUGUUCAUUUAGUGUCUCGUUUUUAUUAUUAUUACAAGCGUUUAGCCUAGAAUAUCAAAGAACCACAUGCUAAAACGACACUCUGUACAUUUUUAUUAUAUAUUUUUAUAUUAUAUAGAUAUUUAUUUAUUUAACUUGUGUUAAUCGUUUUUUUUCUCACUAACAUAUAUACUGUGUUACGGAAAAUAGUGUUAUAUUUUAAUAGAAUUAGAUGAACCCAUAUUCAGAUAACCGAGUAGAAGCGAGUAAUCGAACGAGCAUUUUUUAGGUUUCAAAAUAUGUAAUUAACAAGACAAUAUAUAGUAUUUGUGAUAAGUGACUGAUAAUUAAGACUUUUUGUACUUUUUCGAAUUGUUAUUGACCACUAACACUCAACGUAGUCACUUUUGCAAAUACGACAUUUCGAGUUCGUUUUCUAAUCAUUUUUAUGGUGCAAGCAAGUUUUCCAUGUAGGAUAAAGGUACAAAACCCAAAUUUUGUUUCGAUGGGAAGCGGGAAAAUAAUUUAAUAGUUUUAAAAUAUUGUUACAUUUUUCGGUGCGUUCAUCAAUUUAACGCCAAAAAAAAAAUGAGGAAACAGUUUGGGUUUUUGUACUCGAUUAUUAAUUAAUUAGUCGUGAUGAGAUUAUAGUCGUUUAAAUUUUUAUAAAGUAUUCUCAAUCACUCACUUGAAUCGUUAACUUGUAAUGAUAGAUAGCUAUUUAUUUUAUUAAUAGAGUAAUUUAUAUUAACAAAUUUAUAAUUAUACAUUUUACCAAGUAUUAUACCAUUUUUCGGUUGUGUUAUCAAUUUUUUGUGUGCGUCAUUUUCGUUCGCAUUUCCGCUUUGACUUUAUUUUUUCCCAAACCUUUUGUUCAGUUCAAUCAAUUAUAUAAUCUGAUUCUACUAUAGUAAAGUUUUAAAUCUUA